CCUACGGGAGGCAGCAGUCGAGAAUCAUUCACAAUGGGGGAAACCCUGAUGGUGCGACGCCGCGUGGGGGAAUGAAGGUCUUCGGAUUGUACACCCCUGUCAUGUGGGAGCAAAUUAAAAAGAUAGUACCACAAGAGGAAGAGACGGCUAACUCUGUGCCAGCAGCCGCGGUAAUACAGAGGUCUCAAGCGUUGUUGGGAAUCACUGGGCGUAAAGCGUGCGUAGGCUGUUUCGUAAGUCGUGUGUGAAAGGCGGGGGCGCAACCAGCGGACGGCACAUGAUACUGCGAGACUAGAGUAAUGGAGGGGGAACCGGAAUUCUCGGUGUAGCAGUGAAAUGCGUAGAUAUCGAGAGGAACACUCGUGGCGAAGGCGGGUUCCUGGACAUUAACUGACGCUGAGGCACGAAGGCCAGGGGAGCGAAAGGGAUUAGAUACCCCAGUAGUC
rnacentral:rRNA from 1 species